UACGAAGGGUGCAAGCGUUACUCGGAAUUACUGGGCGUAAAGCGUGCGUAGGUGGUUCGUUAAGUCUGAUGUGAAAGCCCUGGGCUCAACCUGGGAAUGGCAUUGGAUACUGGCGACCUAGAGUGCGGUAGAGGGGUGUGGAAUUCCAGGUGUAGCGGUGAAAUGCGCAGAUAUCAGGAGGAACACCGGUGGCGGAAGGCGGCUCUGGCAACAACGUGACGUGGAGGAGCGAA
rnacentral:rRNA from 1 species